rnacentral:rRNA from 1 species
GUGAAAUUUUUAAUAAAACACAAGUUCCCUGCAGAUCUGUUGGGGCUAAUAAGUUUAAGUAAAAAACCAGGAUUAGAUACCCUGUUAUUGUAAAUCAUUUCUAAGUAGGGUAGUAAAAGUUGUUCUUCAAACCCAAAGAUUUUGGCGGCAUUUCAUCCUAAUAGAGGAGCUUGUUCUGUAAUUGAUAGUCCUCACUCUAUCUUACCCCUUCUUGUUUAGCUUGUAUACCGCCGUUGUCAGAUUACUUCCUAAGAAUGUCUUCAACAAAAAUAUUUUUUUUACUUCAGGUCAAGGUGCAGUUUAUGGGUGGGUAGUUAUGAGCUACAAUUUUUAUUAAAAAUACGGAUUUUAGGUUAAAAACCGGAGGAAGGUGGAUUUGUUAGUAAACUUACUUAAGUAUAGUGGGUUGAAUAAGGCAAUGAAAUGUGCACAUAUCGCCCGUCACUCUCUUCUUAAGAGGAGAUAA